GGCGAACGCUGGCGGCGUGCUUAACACAUGCAAGUCGAACGGAAAGGCCCUGCUUUUGUGGGGUGCUCGAGUGGCGAACGGGUGAGUAACACGUGAGUAACCUGCCCUUGACUUUGGGAUAACUUCAGGAAACUGGGGCUAAUACCGGAUAGGAGCUCCUGCUGCAUGGUGGGGGUUGGAAAGUUUCGGCGGUUGGGGAUGGACUGGCGGCUUAUCAGCUUGUUGGUGGGGUAGUGGCUUACCAAGGCUUUGACGGGUAGCCGGCCUGAGAGGGUGACCGGCCACAUUGGGACUGAGAUACGGCCCAGACUCCUACGGGAGGCAGCAGUGGGGAAUAUUGCACAAUGGGCGGAAGCCUGAUGCAGCAACGCCGCGUGCGGGAUGACGGCCUUCGGGUUGUAAACCGCUUUCGCCUGUGACGAAGCGUGAGUGACGGUAAUGGGUAAAGAAGCACCGGCUAACUACGUG
rnacentral:rRNA from 1 species